rnacentral:rRNA from 1 species
UACGUAGGGUGCAAGCGUUAAUCGGAAUUACUGGGCGUAAAGGGCUUGUAGGUGGCCAACUAAGUCAGACGUGAAAUCCCUCGGCUUAACCGGGGAACUGCGUCUGAUACUGGAUGGCUUGAGUUCGGGAGAGGGAUGCGGAAUUCCAGGUGUAGCGGUGAAAUGCGUAGAUAUCUGGAGGAACACCGGUGGCGAAGGCGGCAUCCUGGACCGAUACUGACGCUGAGGAGCGAAAGCCAGGGGAGCAAACGGG